CGUCUCCUACGCAGCUAACUGGCAGGUGAUGUAAUGUGUUAAACAAGUGUACAGGUUGUACAGUACUUGUAGUUAUGUUUUCAGUAAUGAGAUAUGGCAGUGGUAUGUUUGUUCAGUUUCUGUGAAUGCAUGGAAGCGGCAGCCGUCCUUGGCCAGUCUCUGGACCAUCUCCAGUCUUGACAGGUCCUCCUUGUCGUGCAGGAUGCACAUGCUUCCCGGCUGCAGCGCAGGGGGCACAGAGAACAUGUAUCUCAGGCCACAAUCCCACGACAUGGCUGGCUGUCCACAAGGUUAAACAGCAGGAUAGCGGACUGUGAGCUCACAAAGUGUAAGAGGAGCAGUGUGACGCUUGACUGGGUCCUGGCAAAGCCGUUCGAUUGUGCUGCCGUCCCAAACUGCUGACACAGCAAACUGCUGAAUGAGAAAAGGUCCCCAUCUCUAGGUGCUGUUUGUCUUUCAUGUGAGAUGUCCGCCCACCCAGAGUCGGCUUCUGCCAGAGAUUUCUUCCUGUAAAAAAAGGGGCUUGUUUUUUUCUCUCUCCACUGUUGCCAAGUGCUUGCUCAUUGUGGAAAAUGUUGAUAAGCCUCGGCCUCGGACUCAAGUUCCUUGAGACAAUAUAUUUUGUGAUUUGGCAAUAUACAUAUAAAAUUGGAUUGAAUUGAUUAGAUAAUACACCUCAAUUUUUACUGGAACAUGUUUAGUAUAGCUGGGGUGUCUAUUUUCUGAAUGAGCUGAUGAAGCAUUCCUCAUCAAUGUUACUGUCUACACUUAAUAUGUUAUUCUAUACCAUCUCACAGUGGGAAAGAAAACUAAAUAAAGCAAUGGCCUUGAAUAUCUAAAAACAACCCUGUCUUCCUUCCUGCUCCUUCCUGGUGAACUUCAGAAAAAGCCAGGAGGACAACUCCAGCUUUAAUGUGCUACCACUGACCCAGUUUCUCAAGGACUACCAUGACAACCACUGUUACCAGAGGCCUGCAGCACUGCAAAAGACUGAAAAAGUGAUGAAACUCCAUUUAGCAUGUUACACUGGCCCCUUCCCAAGAGGAAUAACCAGCCAAGUAGAGAAAUUCAAAAGCUGCACACUCUCAUACAAAAUUAACAAAGACGCUAAACAACAGAAACAAUGAUAUUACCACAUAGUGUAGGGAUGGUAAAUACAAUCUGCACAUGGGUUAUUAACGCAACUGAUGACAAAAUUUGUUUUGAGUA